rnacentral:rRNA from 1 species
AUUGAACGCUGGCGGCAUGCCUUACACAUGCAAGUCGAACGGAUUCAAGGGGCUUGCUCCUUGAGUUAGUGGCGAACGGGUGAGUAAAGCAUCGGAACGUACCCAGUAGUGGGGGAUAACGUAGCGAAAGUUACGCUAAUACCGCAUACGACCUGAGGGUGAAAGCAGGGGAUCGCAAGACCUUGCGCUAUUGGAGCGGCCGAUGUCGGAUUAGCUAGUUGGUAGGGUAAAAGCCUACCAAGGCGACGAUCCGUAGCUGGUCUGAGAGGACGACCAGCCACACUGGGACUGAGACACGGCCCAGACUCCUACGGGAGGCAGCAGUGGGGAAUUUUGGACAAUGGGCGAAAGCCUGAUCCAGCCAUGCCGCGUGAGUGAAGAAGGC